rfam:Gossypium raimondii Chr07_contig_28, whole genome shotgun sequence.
AGUUAAAAAUUUCAUCUAUUUGUACUGUUAAAAAUUGGCAUGGAUGAUGAAAUAACCAAAUAGCAACACAUAUUGUGCCACAUGUACCUCAUGUUGAGUUACAAUGACCAAUUUUUAACAGAAAAACCAAUUGGCUCUUUGAUC